UUCGAAAACGGAGAAGUGGAUAAAAAAAAGGGAAAAUCUAUGGCCCAAACUGCCAUAAAACUUCCACAACUAAGGGAAAAAUAAAUAAAUAAACCUGCCAUAAACCACCGCUGUUUGGCUGAUCAUCUCAUCUCACCACCAUCAGCCGGACGCCGCUUCAUCGCAUAGAAAACCAAUUCACUAAAUCCCCACCCACGCGCCUACGCGCGAAAUCGACGCGCUCAUCAGAGACAAGCGGCGACCGGCAGAGAGGGCAGUUGAAAUUGAGAUGAUCAAGCCAGCCAUCAAAGCACUCUUUGUGAAAGACAUGGCGGCAAUCAAGCUU
rnacentral:misc_RNA from 1 species